CGAUAAAAAUCUGAUUACAAGAUGUAGUCAGAUUUUUUUUUUAGAAAAAUAU
rnacentral:sRNA from 1 species